AAGCCCUUAGAGGCUCUGGGAGGCGAGGCCUAUCGCUCAGACCCUGCCCUCUGGCCUGGCCUCUGCAAGCCACCCAUGGGGUCUCCCAAAAAGGCAUCUUUGGCCACCUCUGCCCCUACACAAAAGGAUCCUGAUAUGAUCCCGCCACCUCCAACUCUCCAGUGGAUCAAAGCUCUGGAUCCUUCAUACUCCAUCUAGAAGGAGGGCCGGAGGUCCCGCCAACAGCCACUGAGGAACCGAGGCCUUCUACCCCUAAUCACCUGAGUGAACGUGGAAGCAGACGCUCCAGACCUAGUGGAGGUCUUCAAAAGAUGGUCCCAGCCACAUGACCGACCCUAAGACGCAACUGCCCGGCUAGGUCGCUCCUGGAUUCCUUACCCCCAGAAAUUACCUCCCCAGUACCUUGGGACAAAGCUUAUGCGGCCAGACUCAAGAGUCAGACCGCCUAUGAUUCCAUCUGUGACGGGUGAGAGCCUGCGCUGUGUGAAGGAAGGUCUCG